GCGCGCGGCGGCUGAGAGGGGCGGCGAGGCCGGCGCGCGGCGACGGGGACCGUUAGCGCGCGUGAGGGCGGGGGCCGGGGCACGAGCGGCCGCUGCCCUCAGCGGCGGCUCCUCUUUCUCGGCCGCAGCCGCCCGCGCCCAGCACCGUGCGGGUAACGGCCGCGCUCCCCGGGCGGCUCCUCGGGGCUUCACCGCCUACCUCUCGGGCGGCGCGCGCCCUUCCCGCCUCCGGGAUGCGGCCCUGGUUCCUCCCGCCCCGCGCGGCCGCUCGUCGGAGGCGCCGCAGCACCGUGCCCCGGCGGAUCGCGGGCAGCUGACCACUGCAUUUGAGGCCAGCCCGACAAAUACCAUUCUGCCCCGGCGAAGACAAAGCGGCACUGCUACCUCUCAAAAUGGCUGUUGGUUCUUCGUCCUCUCUUCAGGAGCAGAACAAAAAACAACCACAGUCUUUGAACUGAAAGAGUUCACACUCACUGAUGGUGGAGUGAAUUGUCCUCUGACAUUAUGCUUCAAGCUGGCUUAACACUUAAACUACAACCACCACCACUGCUGAAAAGGUACAUGCUGUUGGUUCCACCAGUUAUUCCUGGAUCUGCGUCUCCAUUCCCAGAACAGACAUAGGCUACGUGUGCAACUUCCCCUUCCACUUAUGGCCUCUAGCACCUCACGUUUGGAGGAUCUCUGUAGAAUGUGAAUGUUCUCUACUCAUCUUGUAGUUAUAUUUGGUUUUUUUCACUCUACAGUAUCACUUGAGCAACAGAUGACAUCAGUUGUUCCUAGCCAACAAACUCCAAUCAAAGAAAAGGAGAUGGACACAAACACACAGAAUAACCUUAAGCAUGCGGUAAAAGAAAACAUGGAAUUUUAAUACUGAAAAUUCAGAAAGAUAGUAAGACAUUAUAUAUAAAUCAUUAUAAUCUCUUAAAAAUUUGUGAAAACCAAAAGACACAUGAAGGGAAGCUGCGUUUUAAAACACUGAGCCCAGCCAAAAAGAUACGUGCACUUGAAAAGUACCAAGUGAUAUGAAUACACCAAAAUCAAGUUAUGGUGACUUCUUGAGGUGAAUUACAGCAUGCAUCUCAGAAAAGCCGAAAUAUAUAACUUCCUAGGCUGCUUGACUUGUGGUAGGAAUACAUAUAUUUAGCAUGUAACUGAAAUAUUCAAAAACAAAGAAACAAAGAGAACACCAAGACAGCUUUAAUAUUAUGCUUUGGAGGUUGUUACAAUGAUCAAUUCUUCCAUCCAUUCUUAGAAAAAACUUGCAUUCCGGUACUAUUUAGGAGACCCUUGAACAGAUUCCACACAAACAGGCGGCAUCCAGCCAGCCAAGUGUCACAGUCCAUCUUUCUUUACAAGUUCCUGCAGAAGAGACCCCUGCUGCAUUUCCGCAAGACACAGGAAUGACAGACACAAUUUAUCAUCCUGCCGAGCACCUUCAAAAACUCUGUGCCCUUUGAAAGUGGUCACCCAGAACUGAUCAUCUUCACUGUGAAAUGAAGAAUAACUAAGGUCUAGUGCCCUGCUGAGCUGAAUGAGGAGCCUGUGAGGUCUGUUUAUCCUCAUUGCCUUUUUUUAUAUAAAACAAAAAAACAAAAACCAAAAAACCCACCCAACCUGAAUUCCUCAUUAACACUUGAUGGAGGAGGGGGAAGGAAGAAUAAUGGGAUGGGGAAGAAAGGCAGAAAUGUAACUUCCAUCAAAAAAAAAUCAAACGUAUUUGAGAAAAACACAUUCUUUUCACCUUAAAGUGUCUUUAAUGCUCUACAUUUAGAAAAAGCACUAUAUUGAAUACCAUUCCUCUUACUCCUGUAUAAUGCAAGUAGUUUCAAAAAGAAUCGUCUUCAUAUAGAAGGGCCUGUUUAAAAAUAAAGUCUCUCAACUAGUCUCUACUAUCUAAAACCCAAGGUUGUUUCCACUGCAGGACAUCAUGGUUCAAUUGGUAGCAAGACUAGUUCAAUCCAAAAGCAGUGUCAGAAUUUUU